UUUAUUACUAGUGUUACUAGAAGUUAGUUAAUAAGAUGAGUUUUAUUAUGAUUUUAAAAUUAUUAAGGUUUAGUACUUAAUAGGAUACUUAAUGAGAAUAAUUCAUCAAAAAGUAAUAAUCUUAUGUACCUUUUGUAUCAGGGUUUAUUAAUUCUUUAGGUUUAUUUCCUAUUUCCCGAAGUGAAGGGAUCUAUUUUACUAUUAUAGCUUAUGUGGAAUAUUGGGUGUUAAUUGUAAGAUUGUAAUGAAAUGUUAAGCGUUCUUUAUAAUAUCUGGUUUCUUAGGAAAUUAAUUUAAUUGAGAUUGAUUUGUUAAAGAUUAGUUUUUAAACUUAGUUUUUAUAAUAAUUAAUUUAUGUUUAGGGGGAUAAGCUCUUUUACGUUAGUUAUAUCUAUAAAGAAAUAUUAAAUUGUAUGCUUUAAAUUAGCAAUCGUUCUAUUAUGUAAUAAUUUAUUAUGAUAUUAUGGAUUUAUUAAUGAUUAACUUACUUAUUAGGAAAUCAAUUUUAAUGGUGUUUUUUGAUCUAUAAUGAUGAAAUUAGUAAAUAGUGUAGUAUAUUUAUUAUUAAUUAAUAAAUUUAAGUAAAGGAAUUCGGCAAUAUAAUAUUCGCCUGUUUAACAAAAACAUGGCGGUUUGAUUAUUAAUUUAACGUCUGACCUGCCCACUGAUAUUGAAGGGCCGCAGUAUUUUGACUGUGCAAAGGUAGCAUAAUCAUUAGGUUCUUGAUUAGAAUCUGGUAUGAAAGGUUUAACGAAAUAUUAACUGUCUCUGUUUGAUGUAUUUAAUUUAACUUUUUAGUAAAAAGGCUAAUAUUUAAAUGAGGGACGAGAAGACCCUAUAGAGCUUGAUAGUUGUUUUAUGGCAUUUAGAUAGUUUUUGAAUAAUUGUUGUUAUGAUAACUGUUUUACUGGGGCGGUACUAAGAUAAAUUUAACUCUUGUUUUGUUAAUAAAGAUAGUUAGAUAAUUGAAUCAUUCUAAUUGAUUUUAGAUAAAGUUACCUUAGGGAUAACAGCGUAAUUUAUUUGGAGAGUCCUUAUUGAUAAAUAUGUUUGCGACCUCGAUGUUGAAUUAAGAAUUCAGGGGGAUGGAGCAGUUUCCGUUGAGAGUCUGUUCGACUCUAAAAUUCUUACAUGAUUUGAGUUCAGACCGGCGUGAGCCAGGUUGGUUUCUAUCUUCAUUUUAUUAUUAAAUUUUAGUACGAGAGGACCAUAUUUAAUGAAUAGUUUAUUUAUUUGAAUAUUAU
rnacentral:rRNA from 1 species